rnacentral:tRNA from 1 species
GCGGAUGUACCCAAGAGGUUGAAGGGACUAGACUGCAAAUCUAGUUGGUUAAUCCACAUCGUAGGUUCGAAUCCUAUCGUCCGCU